CUCCUGGAAACGGGUGGUAAUGCCGGAUGCUCCAGUUGACCGCAUGGUCCUCUGGGAAAGCUUUUGCGGUAUGGGAUGGGGUCGCGUCCUAUCAGCUUGAUGGCGGGGUAACGGCCCACCAUGGCUUCGACGGGUAGCCGGCCUGAGAGGGCGACCGGCCACAUUGGGACUGAGAUACGGCCCAGACUCCUACGGGAGGCAGCAGUGGGGAAUAUUGCACAAUGGGCGCAAGCCUGAUGCAGCGACGCCGCGUGCGGGAUGACGGCCUUCGGGUUGUAAACCGCUUUUGACUGGGAGCAAGCCCUUCGGGGUGAGUGUACCUUUCGAAUAAGCACCGGCUAACUACGUGCCAGCAGCCGCGGUAAUACGUAGGGUGCAAGCGUUAUCCGGAAUUAUAGGGCGUAAAGGGCUCGUACGCGGUUCGUCGCGUACGGUGUGAAAGUCAUCCCUUAACGGCGGAUCCGCGCCGGGUACGGGCGGGCUUGAGUGCGGUAGGGGAGAUGGAAUUCCGGUGUACGGUGGAAUG
rnacentral:rRNA from 1 species